UAUAAAAUAAGUGUUAAUGUAUGACAGCAAUAAGUAAUGUUUACGUUAGAUAAGUCUGAAAAUAUCCACAAUGGGAUCAGAGGCAAGGACUCUUUCCGCGACGGCGGAAGCAGCAGGGCAGAUUGGCGUACACAGUGAGAAGUGAGGAUACUAUAGAGUACUUCUUCAAGAAACCUGGCUGUUAAGAAGACAUGGCUGAGUGGGAAGUGAAGCCAACUGGCUGGUAACGCGCGUAACUCAGGGGGCCUCGCCCUCCAGCCCUCGUCACUGGCCAGCCCCACCCCAGGCGACGGGCGCGGUGGGCGUGGUCGGGCAUCGCGCAGACUACGUCCCCCAGAAGGCUUCGCGGCGCAGGGCGGAGUUGAGGCCUGGCGCUAGCUGCUGCGGCGCGAGCGGAAGAGACGGAGCUUGGGGAGGCGGCGGAAGAGGAGUUCGGCGGCGUCCCGAUUAAGGUGAUGCCAUGCAGGAAGAAGUGGAGAGAUGCAGAGGUCGAGCCAAAAGGCCUGACAUGGCACUUUAUGUACCUAAAGCUCGGAGGGGUACAGUACUUCCCAAGACCAGUGAUAAGGAAAAAAUCUGUGGUCUGCCUAACUCUGUGAUGAAAGAACAACAAAAAGAAGGUUGUCAUUCCCAAAAGCUGAUCUUUGAAGAAAAACUUGAGGCUCAGAGACUAAAUAUUAAUCCUGGUAAGAAGGAGCCUAAUUGUAGAGAAGGGAAGAAAUCUUCAACAAAAUUAAGAGAAGACACAUGCCUUCAUAAAAGGAAUAAAGACAGGGUUUGUACUAAGAGAGGACACACAGUAUCCAAAGUAUUAUCCCAAGAACAUCAGCAAAGAGUCCCAAAUGCUGUGGUUAUGCCUAGAGCACCUUUACAAAGAUAUUUUAAACCAAAGACAAUGGAAAGUUUAGAGGUUCACACUACAGAUGUGACAGGAUAUGAAGGAAUACUUCUGUCACAGUCUUGUUCAAAAAUUAGUGAGGCUAAUCAGGCUCUAAGCAGACCAUUUCAGAAUGUAGAAUUCUGUGAUUUCAGUAGACAUGAACUAAGUGGGGAAAAUUUUGAAGACAAAGAUUUGGGAAGCAAAAUUGAAACUGGUACCAAAGUUGUGGAGAUAAUAACCCAGUUUCCCAGAGAUUUUACUGCUGUAUUAAAACCUGAGAGUGCAGAACUAUGCUUGGAUUCUGAAGUUACACAGCAAAGUGUGCAAAUACCAGAUGGAACAUUGAAGCUCAGCAAUGAAAGCUUCACUGCUAUUUCUGUUUCUGGAAGUCCAGAUACUGUCAUUGAUCAGAUUUGUGUAGAUUUUGAAGUUGAGAAUGUAGGUGAUGUAGCCAACAGUACAAGUUUCAUCCUGGAUCAGAAAGGUACAGAUUCCAUUCCUGAGACUGUGGGUCACAUCUCUCAUAAAAUGACUACGGUCAGCAAAUUAGAGCACACAAAUGGCAUUAUUGAUCUAACAGUGAUUAGAGGAUGUGAGGAGAAUGACAGCACUGCUCAUGAGUUAUGUGGAAAGUGUGAACCCGAUACAGCUGUCCUUGCUCAUGAAGCAGAUGAUGGAUCUAAGAGUGUAGAUGACAUUAUUACUAAGGCAUGUAUGAUGGACAUUACAGGUGCCACAUACAAUCAUUUAGCUGUAAGUAGCCCUUGUGUAGUUCGACCAGCUGAUACUUGUAGCGAUACAAGUAGAUUCUCAAAAUACAUAGAAAUGAAUGCAGAUAAAGCUCCUCUUCAUGUGGUUAGAAGUGAGAAUGAAAAUUUCAGCAACCUGACUGCUUGCUCAGAUACUUACACAGAAAGUAUUUCAUCUAGUUUUACAGAGUCAACAGGAAAGUUGAUAAAGAGCAUGACAGCUUGUGCUUCCUUCUUUCCUAUAAAGAAGAUUGCUUGCAGUAAUUAUAAUAGUUUUUCCGACUCCGAACUACAUAUGUCAAAUGGGACAAAACUUUCAGAGAAUGCCUUGGGCAGUGAUCUAGAUAUUACUGGUGAUAUAUCACAGGCAUUACAUGAACUAAGAACUGCUAAAGAGUUCACAACAAAAGAACAAGAUGACUCAGAGAAUAUAGAAUUUGGUGUAUCAUUUCCUGUUAGAGCAUCAUCUAUGGAAACAUCUGUGGAACUAAAAUCAGCUGAAACUUCUCACAUAGCAGAAAGUACUGCUGUGGAGGAGAGCUGGGAAUCUAUGUUUAAUGACGAUGGUGACUGUGUAGAUCCACAUCUUCUACAAGAGUUAUCAGGGAAUAUGAAGAAUGAAGAAAGCAUCCAGGAACCCAGAUUUGAUUAUUACAACCAUGAAGUUCCUGAUAUUGACCUCAGUGAAUGUGAGUUCCCACAUGUCAUUGAAAUUUAUGACUUCCCCCAAGAAUUUCGUACAGAAGACCUUCUACGGGUUUUCUGCAGUUACCAAAAGAAAGGAUUUGAUAUUAAAUGGGUGGACGAUACACAUGCUUUAGGAGUAUUCUCCAGUCCAAUCACAGCUCGUGAUGCUUUGAGUAUUAAACAUACCAUGGUGAAGAUCCGGCCCUUGUCACAGGCCACAAGAGCAGCCAAGGCCAAAGCUAAAGCUUAUGCUGAAUUCCUUCAGCCACCAAAGGAAAGACCUGAGACUUCAGCAGCCUUAGCCAGAAGGUUAGUCAUCAGUGCCCUUGGGGUUCGAAGCAAGCAGAGCAAAACAGAACGAGAAGCAGAGAUCAAGAAACUGCAAGAAGCCAAAGAGCGAAAGCGUUUGGAAGCCAAGCAGCGAGAAGACAUCUGGGAAGGCAGAGAACAAUCUGCAGUUUGAACAUCAUUCAAUGAAAAGGAAAACUCCGUGAAUUCCAAAAGUAUUUCUGUAGCCUCAUAUAAGAGGAUUCUUCCAGGGCUGCUGUGUACACGCGAACAUGGAUGUUAAAGAAAGUGAAAAGGCUAUCAAAACAAAGAUUUACUGGGUACAGAGUGAAGAUAUACUCUUGUCUUUACUCCUAAAUGCAGUUCUUUGUUACUGCCGUACUGUGGUAAAUAUAAAAGGGAGCCAUCAACUGGGAAGAAACACAGAACAUACAGCUUCCAAGAGUCCCCUGGAUAGAGCAAGUCAUGGAUCACACUUUAAAUGUGUAAAGCAAAUACAAAGCAGAACAGAGAAUUCAAACCUGCAGUGAUGGGAGGUUUAGGUCCUGCAAAGGCAAAGCAUUCCUUAGUACCUUACAAAGCUAAAAACAGCAAUAUUGGGUACAGGAAGAGGGGACAAUAUGGAGCAAUGAAUACAGAUAGAAUAGUGCUAUACUUGGCAAACACAGAAUCUGUACUGCGAAUCCCAGAACUCCAGAGUUGGUGAACUUCCACAGAUGUGCGUAUCUGGAUCCAGAAUUGGUACAGAACUCCAUGCCUGGGGCUGCUCUAGUGCACAGCAACCAGGAACCUGACAGCUUCAUUCCUCAAGCCAGUCUUGAGGAGUUGUGUGCCAUUUCUACUUUAAACAGUGAUGUGUUGUAAGAGGGAAACAUUAAAGGUCAUUUUAUGACAUAUAUCACUUGAUAUUUAUCCAUUUUUUUUUCUUUCCCACAAAAAAGAUGAGAGCAACUCUGUUCUUCAUGCCUAUGUGGUUAUACAUAGGUUAAGUGGAUCUGUUGCUUUUAUUGAAUCCAGUGAAUAGAAUCUCUCUGCCCAGAAUAUAUUUUUGAAAUGACCAUCCUGGGAUUCUCAAUGUUUUUGAAAAGUAUUAUGCCCCAAAGAAAUGGUAGUGCUGGGUCUUAAGGUGCUGACAUGGCGAAACAUGACACUGGCCUUCUGUCUUAGUCCUUACUCAACUGUCCCUGUGCUGUUCUGGUCAUAGAGCCCUCUCACUGUUCUUAAUCUUGUUUUUCUCAUUCUUGGUCAGUUCUUCCAGUGUCGCAUGUUCCUACUAACUGCCUCCAUGCCAGGAAAUCGAGUAAGUCACUGUCAUGUCCCUUUGUUACUUCUACUUAGUCUUUCACUUGUGUUACAUAUCUUCAUGGUAGGAAAUGCAUGGCCUCAUACUGAAUGGUUUAUCUCUGAAAUACGCUGCUGUUUGCAUUGCUGGGGGUAAACCUACAGUCUUAUGCAUGCUAGGUGAGCACUACUGAGCUGUUUUUCAAGCCCAUGUUUUGAUACUUCAAGGCUAAGUAUGUCCUUGGGAGUUAAAGAGAUGACUGUUCCUAUCACUUGCCUGUGAGGGUGCUUCCCUUUUGUGACUGUUCUUUAACUUUUAAAGGCAUUGUUAAUGGUAACAAACAGUUCCAUGUUUAUUACUGUUUUUUUAUAACCCUCAUAAUUUCAAGGUCUCAUUUUUGUUCUCAUUCUGAGGCAGUAUACUAGCAGCCUUUCCUUUGUUUUAGCUUACAGCCGGCCAUCUUUAAUUCUCAGGUUUAUCUUUAUAACCAACUUCAGAAAAAGGGAUUUUUUUAAAGCCCUCAUCUGACAAUUAUGGAGGGUUGCUUUUGUCAUUAGUUGAAUGUGCUUUGUAGUUAUUGACCCGAGUAGUUGGGUUUGAUGUAUACUGGCCAGAGAUAAGAGGUUCUGCCAUGGCCCAACAGACUGCCUUGAGUUUAUCCAGAUGAAAAUCAAAUCCUACAUUAUGUCUAAAUCAUACCUUCACAAGUAGAAUUAAGUGGCGAGUACCCUGUAGCCUCCGUGGGCUCCUUUGUUAGACAAUUGUAAAGACAGCUUGUGUACUCUUGCUGUGGGUGUUCUUCAUAUAUGUCAAAUAUCUAAGCCUCAGGAUCACCUGGAAUUUAUAGUAGAAAAGUACUUUGCCCAUGUUCUAAUUCCCUCCUCAGGGUGAAAGUCUUUGUAGAAUAGUAGUAAGUUUAAGGAAAAAAAAAAUAAGUUUAAGCUGAAGUUCCUAUACUUUAAUUUCUGAGGUCAGAGUGUGCUGAGGUGAGAGUCAUAGGCUUUUGGUUCAGUCUGGAAUUUUGUGGUUGGUAUUCAAUUAGCAUUCCUCAUCUAGUUAUAAGGCAUGCCAGCCACCAGUCUUCCCAUGACCUUCCCUUUCAACUCAGUGCUAUAACAACACAACCCUUGUGUAGCUUUUUCCAGGAAUUAUAACAGGCUGUACCUAUCAGACGUGUGAUGUGGGCAGCAAGACUGAGAUCAGAGCCAGUGGCUGCCUGGCCUGCUUUUUCUGGCUGUCUUGGAAAUUAGAUUCAGCAGGAGGCUGAGGGUAACCUUCUUGUCUAAAUCUAGUCAUCAGUCACUACACACUCACUGGCUAGCUACACAUUCUUUCAUACACCAUUUGCUGCAUAUGUGAGAAUAAUGUUGUUACUGUUUGGGAGAGGUUUGCUGGAUCCAACAGGAAAUCAGUCCUCCUGUUUACCUAAAACGCCAUGCCAGAGUAUAAUACUCCCUUUCCCAAAUAAAGGGGAUGAGAAGGUUGAGAAGCAAAAAGGUAGAGGAGAGGAAGGAAGAAAGCACUUCUUUGUAUUCACAGACGGUACCACCUGGACUGGAGAAGUCCCUUUGACUCCUUAUGGAGAGAGAAAUUCUUGUGAUGUGGAUGGAGACAAACUACUCAAUGUCCACUGAAUCAGGAUUCAAAUCCAGGGCCUUGAGCUCCCCAAUAAUUGUUCACCAUGGCACAGCUUCUUCAAGUGAUAGACCUGUUGGAGGCUGCACGGAAAACUCUGCCUUCAUCUUACCUGAAAGAUGUAGUCACCUGGGCCAACAUCUGUGAUAUCCACCCACUGGCAAUCAAUAUCAUGCCGGAAGGUUGGCAGGGCAGGUUUGUAUCCUGAUGUGAUAGGUGCUUUUGGCCACAGAGAUGGAAAAUGGAGUUGGUGCUUCUACUACUCAAACCUGCCACCAUGCAGCUGAGAGCUGAGUCCAGCAUUUAGAGCCUUUUGAUGGUAAGAAGCAAAACAGUGGACCUACCUUGAGAGCAAAGUUGGCAAAACCCAGGCCGAGCUGUCGACAGACCACCAUGGCCUCGAUGUCCAGAACCCAGGGCCACCAAGAGAAGAUCCAGAGCAUAUCCAGUCUCUCCUUCCCCAUCCCGGCUCCCUCACUCACCUUGGCCCAGCUGGGCCCUAAACAGGGCUUCGCGUGCGGAUCCAAAGCCAAGCUGGCGACAUACAACACUGGCAGAGAUGAGGUUCCAUCGGUGG